UACGUAGGGUGCAAGCGUUGUCCGGAAUUAUUGGGCGUAAAGAGCUUGUAGGCGGUUUGUCGCGUCUGCUGUGAAAUUUCGGGGCUCAACCCCGAACUUGCAGUGGGUACGGGCAGACUAGAGUGUGGUAGGGGAGACUGGAAUUCCUGGUGUAGCGGUGAAAUGCGCAGAUAUCAGGAGGAACACCGAUGGCGAAGGCAGGUCUCUGGGCCAUAACUGACGCUGAGAAGCGAAAGCAUGGGGAGCGAACAGGAU
rnacentral:rRNA from 1 species